CUCUGCUGAAGUUUUGUAAGUGAGCCCGAGAUAUGGAGUUUUGUGAACAGACCAGAAUUUACAAAUCUAAAACUGUGGGCCUGGGUUCACUCUCAGAGUUAGCUACCAAAGGACAUCCUGAAAUUACAAUGACCAUCAUUUAAAUGGAACCCCAGCUGACUUGCAGUAGGCCUGCUUUGCAUAUUUCUUUCACAACAGAAUUCAACUCGACCAUUAGAGGCAUUCUUACAUACGUUUUGCACAUAUCCAGUUACUGGCUGUGCUGUGAAACUGUGGGCUCUCCAAAGUCUGUGUGGCUGACUUUGCAAGUUCAGGUUUGGUUUGGAGCAGUGAAGAUGAUCAGUAGAAUCAUAGAAUGACUUGGGUAGAAAGGGACAACCCAAGAUUGUCAAGUUGCAACCCCCUGCCACAGGCGGGUCUGCCAACCACUAGAUUAAAGUACUAGAGCAAAUUGCAAGGAGCCUCAUCCAACCUGGCCUCAAACACAUCCAAUACUUUUUGUAUCCCCCACUGGGACUGAAAUCUGGAUGCUCGCAGAGAGAUUCAAGCCUCUUCUGCUAGAAUUAAUGUAAGAAUAUCAAGAGGAUAAAAGACAGUGAAAGGAAUGAAGCACUAGGAUGAAUCUGUUCAGAGACAGCUGAGGAAGAAGCUGGAAAAAAAAAGAAUCACUGAAAAGACUGGAUCCUGUGAGGCAGUAGCUGAAUACAGGAUGAGCUGUUGUAAAGACAGAGUGGGAAUCCAGAGGACAGCAGGAAGUGCUUGAUUGGUACAGAGGAGCAGCUUUGUCGCAGGUUAGAUAGGACUCUGUGGGGUGGGGAGCGUCAGGAGUAUCAUAAGUGUAGCUAAUUGAACUGAACCUAGAGGAACUACCAACAUGAAUCAUUUUUUUUCUUGAACAGGUAUUCAGCAUCAACUUGUAAGCCAAAUUACAACCUAAAAGGAUAAUUAGUGUAUCUGACUCUACUGAAAUGUCACAGUUUUAAUAUUGGCUUGCAGUGAGUCUAGUCUUCUUGAGCAGUGUUGGUUGGAGUUCUCUUUUUUUGGGUCGUUUCCUCUGGUAGUACUUAAACCUUGUGAAGAACUUUCUAAAAGGAUCAGAGGAAUGGCCUGUUGGAUACUAUGGAGAAUUUUCCUGCAUGUCAUGUUGCACUGCUAAGCAACCCCCACUCUGUGCUUCUGAUCAGGGGAGCCCUGCUGUGACAAGCCUUUCAGGAACAAAAUAACGUAAUGGGUUGUGCAGGUUUUCAUCUAGAACUGGCUUCAGGUAUUUAAAAAUAUUUAAAGUGUUUUAAAGAAAAUGCUGGGAAAUUCAUAUCGAAAUUGCCAUGCGGCAAUCAGCUCAUGCCAGUUAUUUUGUUAGUGAAAUGAAAUGCAGAACAAGCAAGCUUUCGAGUUUGAUUUUGUUUCAGUCUGUCUGGAGAACAUGGUGUCAAGUGCCCAUUUUUCUUUUAAGAGUAGCCUUAAAGACUUGAUUACUCUUUGAUCCUAGUAUUGUCUUGAAGGUAGUUCAAAGUUAUAAGGAGUUAUGUAUGCUGUAUCCUAAUGAAAUGCUUGUCUGAAAUUGUACUGAUAGCCUGCUGUGAAAAAAUCAAUUUGCCAUCAGCAAACUGAAUGUACUUGAUGCUCAAUUUAGUUCACCCGAGUAUUUCAUGUUCUUUCCCUAUGGUAAAACAAAAGGGUCCUGAGAAUUAAUUACAGCACUAGCAUCUGCUCGUGGCAGCUUUGCUGAUAGACUUCGUAGAAGAAGAUAGUUAAAGAGUGAGGGAGAUGGAGUGUGAAGUUUUACCAGUGCUAUUUCUUAUGCAAAUACAUUUAAAUAACAGACCUCUUUUCCUGUACAUAUUUUUCUUUUUGCAGUGGACUAUUCACUUGCAUACAAAACCAGAAGAUAUCAAUUGCUUCAAAGUAAUUUGUGUUAUGCCAAUUUUGGUUUAUUUUUUGUUUGUUUGUUUGUUUGUUUUUUGUGGUACAUACUUCCUAUACAAUUUUUGGCUGUGCGAUGAAGCACUUGUUAUCUCUAUGCUGGUAAUAAUAGUUUUUCCUUUAAAGUAAAUUUCUAACCUUAUUGGAGGUCAAUAGAUGAAUGAGAAUCUGCUGAAAUUACAGGUUCUUGAGAUUCCUGACUGAAUCCUGUAGUAGAGUAAUUCUGGCCUGCUGUGCCAAGUACACUGUGGAACAACCUUGAAUGCUGGACAAGCAUAUUUUUAUGUUGUGCAAAAUCUCCAUUGGCAGUUUUGUCUUUUUUAGCAUUAAAACGAUGGUUCACUAAUGUGCCACCCCAAGCUGGAAUUUUAUUCCCUUGAGCAUAGGUGGAAUGUAACAUGAGUACAAGGUGCAGCACAAGCCCACAGGGUAUUGGUAAUUUUGGGAUUUCAAUAUUCUGUAAUUUUGCAACUUAACGUGUAUCCAGGUAAAUAAAUCUUCACUCACCUGAUGUAGGAAUCAGAUCCUGGUUCAGCUGAAAGACCUCAAGGUAUAAAUUCCCUUUCUUGGAAUGCCUGAGAAAGCAUGAUCUCUCAAACCCAAGAAGAGAUACUCAUUCUUAACUUCUCUAUGUUUUCUGUCACGUUGGGUUUGAAAGGUGUUCAUUCAUACCACUGUAGUUUGGAGGGAAUCAUCUUAGGUUUCUGUAGGAGAGUGCCUCAAAUUUGGUAUUAUCAUAAAACAUGACGUUGCCAGUAAUGGUAACAGAUUCAUUCUCGUUUGCACUGGGGAAAAAUUUCAGUUUGUAUCAUUGUAAUAAAAAAGUUUAGUGAAGAAGAACAGGUCCAUUGUGUUCAAUAACUUGUUACUUGAAAAAGGAAAAUGAUGAUCAGAACUACUGAGAAUUCUAAAUGCUUCUAAUAUUUGUUUCAUAAUUUCUGAUAAGCUGUAAGCAGAAAUGGCAAAAUGGCAUAUAGUGCUUUCUUGUCUGCAGGUGUAAUAUGCACCUCUUUGACUUCAGAAAAUUUGCUUGUGGACUAUUAAUUGCUUGUACGUUUUGACUGGUAAGUCAUCAUCAAAACAAAGACAACCCAAACUCGUUAGAUUGAACUUUUUCUUCUUGAAGACAUUUGGAUAACCUUUAUCGUGUCCUUUGCUAACUUUAUUCUUUUCUAUACAUGCUUAUAACGUUAUCUUUAAUGUUUCAGCUUUUAUAUUGGAUACAAUUCUUAAUUUUAUCUCCAUUAAAUUGCUGUAUACCAAUGCUUUUAACAUUUUAACUCAUCUUAAAAAAAUGUUGAAGCAUUACCUGGCAGUGGCUAAACACAGGAAUAGUUAAUACUGAAGAGAAAAGGGAAAUACUUCAAUUAUGUUUUCUUAAAUUAAUACUUUUAUAAAACUGUGGUAACAUAGUGUGACAUUCAAUGUCGACAGCUGCGCAUCUUACUUCUUUUGUCAACGCAUAUUUUAACUAAGGGUGAAAGAGUGGGUCUUAGCUACAUAUUGGUCUAUUGAAAAGCAUUUCUGUAUUUUCUUUGUGUGCUUUAUUAGAACAUUCUGUGGCAUAACAUUUAUAGUCCUAUACGUAUAUCACAGUUCUUGAGAGAACAUAUUCUUUGAUAGCCAUUUGGAGCAAGCAUGUACACUAAUUAAUACCUGUUUGGUCAAAUGCUUUGCGUAAUUCUUGAUUAUGUCUAGAGAAAACUCUUGAGAAUAAAGGAUGGUCUAAGUGAAACAAAUAUACAGCUGAACUAUUAGAAGCCCUGGUAAUAAAAAAAAGCACGUAUCUAAAUGUCAGAACUGGGCUGCACAACUCCAUUCUUUUCUGCUUGUCAAAAAAAGAACUACAGUUGUGCAAAGGAGGAGAUAAUAAAUACCAGGAAAGCUAGGAAGUCACUUUUUUUCUAAAGACUGGAUUGAUCAAAUCCUUCGCACCUACGUUUGAGAGAGUAGAAUUUGCUUUUUGUAUGUAGAAACAUUACUGAAAUUAGCAAUUACUGAAAUCAUUGUACUCUCACCACUGUAUCCCAAUUUGCAAGUAUUUGUUUAGCAUGUAUCAUAAGUGUGCAGUUUUUAACGGAAUAAAGAGAUUUUGAUUAUUUAAGCUUUUUAAGAUUGUAAUAUAUAUGGACUGUUACACGUUAUUAUUAAAAAUAUUCUAUUUCAUAUAGAAAAUGCUGGUGU